GUUUGAUCCUGGCUCAGGAUGAACGCUAGCGGCAGGCCUAACACAUGCAAGUCGAGGGGUAACGGGGAGCUUGNUCCGCCGACGACCGGCGCACGGGUGCGCACCGCGUAUGGAACCUACCUUGUACAGGGGAAUAGCCUUUGGAAACGAAGAUUAAUGCCCCGUGGUACCAUGUCCCGGCAUCGGGAUAUGGUUAAAGCCUUCGGGCGGUACAAGAUGGCCAUGCGUCCCAUUAGCUUGUUGGUAAGGUAACGGCUUACCAAGGCUACGAUGGGUAGGGGCCCUGAGAGGGGGAUCCCCCACACUGGUACUGAGACACGGACCAGACUCCUACGGGAGGCAGCAGUGAGGAAUAUUGGACAAUGGAGGAGACUCUGAUCCAGCCAUGCCGCGUGCAGGAAGAAUGCCCUAUGGGUAGUAAACUGCUUUUAUACGGGAAGAAAAAGAGCUACGUGUAGCUUACUGACGGUACCGUAAGAAUAAGGACCGGCUAACUCCGUGCCAGCAGCCGCGGUAAUAAGGGCGAAU
rnacentral:rRNA from 1 species